GACGAACCGUGCAAACGUUGUUCGGAAUCACUGGGCUUAAAGGGCGCGUAGGCGGGCCGCCAAGUCUGUGGUGAAAGCCUCCAGCUCAACUGGAGAAGUGCCGUGGAUACUGGCGGCCUCGAGGAGGGUAGGGGCAUCUGGAACAGUAGGUGGAGCGGUGAAAUGCGUUGAUAUCUACUGGAACUCCGGUGGCGAAGGCGAGGUGCUGGACCCUUUCUGACGCUGAGGCGCGAAAGCCAGGGGAGCAAACGGGAUUAGAAACCCUCGUAGUCC
rnacentral:rRNA from 1 species